AUGCACUGGGUGUCUUGGAAGGAGCUAGCAACACCCAAGUGUAAAGGCGGGAUGGGUUUCAGAGACCCGCAUCUGUUUAAUCUUGCCAUGUUGGGAAAGCAUGCAUGGCGUUUUCUAACGAACCCUAAUGCCCUCUGUGCAAGAGUAUUGAAGGGACGUUACUUUCCUGACACAGAUUUUAUGCAUGCUAUUUGCCUAAGUCGGCCUGGCCACUUGGAAAGCCAUUAUAGCAGGAAGAGAAGCUCUAUGAUGUGGCUUGAUCUCACGUGUCGGAGAUGGUAG
rnacentral:rRNA from 1 species